AUGGUAGUUAUAGUGGUGAUGGCCGCGAUUGGAGGGUUAUCAGAUGGACUUUGUGCAUCGGUAAUGAUAGGUUUCAGUUCGUCGGUGGUUGCGGUGAUGCUGAGGUGUUGCGGUUGGAAUCGUCAUCGUGGGGGUGCACGAAAUGGUGAACACGUAGACAGAGGAAUCAUCGGAAGUGGCUUGAUGGAAUCGCGAUUGAGGGUUGAGUGCAUAAUCAUGGUGCUUAAAAGGGUGUGGUACCAGCUGACACUUCAUUUCUUUUCCCUGUAA